UCGAAUAGCUGAUUAAACCCUCACACUCAGAACUCCACCAGACUCCCCAUCCUCGUCCCCUCACACCGCUUUCUCCACCGGCAAUGAUCAACCUCAUCUCCACCGGACGCGACAUCUCCACCGCUCUCUCCACCGGCAAUGAUCAAUGAUCGGAAAAUGUUGAAGCUUUCGAGCUCGAACAUCUCCACCGGAAAACGAUUUUGCAAAUGAAACAUCCUGAUCGGAAAACAGUGACGCAGAACUCCGACGGUUUCCACAAGGUCUGACUCGAUUCUAUUAAUUUCAAGAUCUUGAAUGUCAAUUUAUUUCAAAAGAAAUCAACAGGAGACAACAAGUUGUGACCCAAGCUGGACUGUUUGUGUACAAUCAUUUACAUGAAGAUCCAUCCAGAGAAUACUUGAUUUCAAUGGAUUAUGAGUGGCAUAUGAGCUCAUGAUUGUCAUCUGUCAAUGGAUUGGAUUGGCCAUGCAAUGGCACAUGCCUCAAAAGGGAAGCUUUUCUAUGCUUUUCUUUUUCUUUUUUUAACAACCUAUAGAUUGUUGAAGAUUGCUCAAGUUAUUAUAACUGCUUGGCUGUUUGCUUUUAGUUUUGUUAGAAUUCUUUUCAUGGUUAUGACAUUUGGUGUAUCA